rnacentral:rRNA from 1 species
GCGUGAGUGAUGAAGGUUUUCGGAUCGUAAAACUCUGUUGUUAGGGAAGAACAAGUGCCAAUAACUGAUGGCACCUUGACGGUACCUAACCAGAAAGCCACGGCUAACUACGUGCCAGCAGCCGCGGUAAUACGUAGGUGGCAAGCGUUGUCCGGAAUUAUUGGGCGUAAAGCGCUCGCAGGCGGUUCUUUAAGUCUGAUGUGAAAUCUUACGGCUCAACCGUAAACGUGCAUUGGAAACUGGGGAACUUGAGUGCAGAAGAGGAGAGUGGAAUUCCACGUGUAGCGGUGAAAUGCGUAGAGAUGUGGAGGAACACCAGUGGCGAAGGCGACUCUCUGGUCUGUAACUGACGCUGAGGAGCGAAAGCGUGGGGAGCGAACAGGAUUAGAUACCCUGGUAGUCCACGCCGUAAACGAUGAGUGCUAGGUGUUAGGGGGUUUCCGCCCCUUAGUGCUGAAGUUAACGCAUUAAGCACUCCGCCUGGGGAGUACGGCCGCAAGGCUGAAAUUCAAAGAAUUGACGGGGUGCCGCACAAGCGGUGGAGCAUGUGGUUAAUUCGAAGCACGCGAAAACCUUACAGGUUU